rnacentral:rRNA from 1 species
AUUGAACGCUGGCGGCAGGCCUAACACAUGCAAGUCGAACGAGUGGCGGACGGGUGAGUAAUGUCUGGGAAACUGCCCGAGGGGGGGGGAUAACUACUGGAACCGGUAGCUAAUACCGCAUCCCAUCGGAGUUGCCCGGCUGGACUUAGCAAGUAGGUGGGGUAACGGCUCCCCUAGGCGACGAUCCCUAGCUGGUCUGAGAGGAUGACCAGCCACACUGGAACUGAGACACGGUCCAGACUCCUACGGGAGGCAGCAGUGGGGAAUAUUGCACAAUGGGCGCAAGCCUGAUGCAGCCAUGCCGCGUGUAUGAAGAAGGCCUUCGGGUUGUAAAGUACUUUCAGCGAGGAGGCGUUACUCGCAGAAGAAGCACCGGCUAACUCCGUGCCAGCAGCCGCGGUAAUAC